GACUCUCGGCAACGGAUAUCUCGGCUCACGCAUCGAUGAAGAACGUAGCAAAAUGCGAUACUUGGUGUGAAUUGCAGAUCCGUGAACCAUCGGUUUUUGAACGCAAGUUGCGCCCGAGCCAUUCGGUUGAGGGCACGUCUGCCUGGGCGUCA
rnacentral:rRNA from 11 species